rnacentral:rRNA from 1 species
AACGAACGCUUUCUUCCUUCCUAACACAUGCAAGUCGAACGAGACCUUCGGGUCUAGUGGCGCACGGGUGCGUAACGCGUGGGAAUCUGCCCUUCGGUUGGGAAUAACUGAGAGAAAUUUCAGCUAAUACCUUAUAAUGUCUUCGGACCAAAGAUUUAUCGCCGAGGGAUGAGCCCGCGUAGGAUUAGGUAGUUGGUGGGGUAAUGGCCUACCAAGCCGACGAUCCUUAGCUGGUCUGAGAGGAUGAUCAGCCACACUGGGACUGAGACACGGCCCAGACUCCUACGGGAGGCAGCAGUGGGGAAUAUUGGACAAUGGGCGAAAGCCUGAUCCAGCAAUGCCGCGUGAGUGAUGAAGGCCUUAGGGUUGUAAAGCUCUUUUACCCGGGAUGAUAAUGACAGUACCGGGAGAAUAAGCUCCGGCUAACUCCGUG